rnacentral:rRNA from 1 species
AUUGAACGCUGGCGGCAUGAUUUACACAUGCAAGUCGAACGGUAACAGGCCGCAAGGUGCUGACGAGUGGCGAACGGGUGAGUAAUGCAUCGGAACGUGCCCAGUCGUGGGGGAUAACUACUCGAAAGAGUAGCUAAUACCGCAUACGAUCUAUGGAUGAAAGCGGGGGACCGUAAGGCCUCGCGCGAUUGGAGCGGCCGAUGUCAGAUUAGGUAGUUGGUGGGGUAAAGGCUCACCAAGCCAACGAUCUGUAGCUGGUCUGAGAGGACGACCAGCCACACUGGGACUGAGACACGGCCCAGACUCCUACGGGAGGCAGCAGUGGGGAAUUUUGGACAAUGGGCGCAAGCCUGAUCCAGCAAUGCCGCGUGCAGGAAGAAGGCCUUCGGGUUGUAAACUGCUUUUGUACGGAACGAAACGGCUCUGGUUAAGACCCGGGGCUAAUGACGGUACCGUAAGAAUAAGCACCGGCUAACUACGU